rnacentral:lncRNA from 1 species
UCUAUAUCUAAUAUCUUAUAUGGUCUUUGUCCAUUUUUCGUAGAUCUAGAUCUGAAGAGUUGAGACUUUGAGUUUUGAGAGCAGAGAGUCUAAGAGUAAGAGAGUUCGAUUGUGAAGAAGAAGACGACGACGACACGACGACGACGACUCACAUGAGUCGAGAAGGCGACUCGCACGGCAACGGAAGUUCCGCCAUGUGACUGAAUUUGAUCUGGAUCUGGUUAAAGCAAAUGAUAAUUUUCUGUCUCAAGGUCAUGGAAGAGGUGGAACAGGGGGUGGGAAUUCAUGAGCUCUGCCAUGGGGAGGUAAAUAUAUCAAAUUUCUGAAUGAUCAAAUGAGGAACGUAUAUAUUUUGUGAUAUUAAUUUUAAUGUUUAUGGUUAACAGGUUUGAUGAGUUUGUUUAAUGAAAUUAUUGAUGGUCUACUGUGUUACACAAUUAUUAUGUACCUCUACUGUCUUGUAUAUUGGAUUAGCUGUACUUGAUAUAACAGGAUCAAAAUUUAGAUUGUGUAAGAUUAUUUAUGGAUUUCGAAGUUAGAUUUUUAUAAUAUUAUUUUAUUUUCUUCAAAUUUUUUGCUGUGUAGCUUAGAAAAAAUCAUGUAUAUAUUGGUAAAUAGGAUGCCAUGUUUUAUGUUCUCUCGUUUCUUUUUCUGUUUUGUCUUCUUUUAUCAUUAAAACACCUUAUUUUAAGUAAAUAAAUGUUGAUAUAAUAUUGAUCAGAUAUUUUUUCUCACGAAAGACGAAACCUUCAGGAAGACGACCACGACGAUUGAAUUUGAACUAUUGAUAUUUUAAAUUGGCAUUUUUCAUGUAAGCAUUUACAGAUUUCACUUAUUAUUUGGACUUAUGUUUUGUUAUGUUUUCCUUAUUGUGAUAUACGUCUGUUGAUGGUAAUUUUGUUGCUGCAGAUAUGAUUGCAAUUUGCAAGUAUGCAUUUGGAUGGUGACAUGAAUGAAAUGAAUAGUUUUUGUUUGAAUUUGUAAUUCUGUAUUUGGAUUUUGGAGCUUAUUUUUGUAAUUUUGUGAUUUGUAUUAUUGUAUGUAAAUUGUAAUAUACUAAUAUGUUACUGUUACAACAACUUAGAUUUGUGAUUUAUAGAUUUUUUUUAAAAAAAAAUUAAAUGAAAAAGCCCGCGGAUCGGGCCGAGCCGGCCCAAUCCGGGCCACAGGCC